ACAGUAUGUAGUUUAAAGUUAAAAAUAUAAUAUUUGGGUUAUUAAGAUUUUAUUACUGAAG
rnacentral:tRNA from 1 species